AGAGUUUGAUCAUGGCUCAGAUUGAACGCUGGCGGCAGGCCUAACACAUGCAAGUCGAACGGUAACAGGAAGAAGCUUGCUUCUUUGCUGACGAGUGGCGGACGGGUGAGUAAUGUCUGGGAAACUGCCUGAUGGAGGGGGAUAACUACUGGAAACGGUAGCUAAUACCGCAUAACGUCGCAAGACCAAAGAGGGGGACCUUCGGGCCUCUUGCCAUCGGAUGUGCCCAGAUGGGAUUAGCUAGUAGGUGGGGUAACGGCUCACCUAGGCGACGAUCCCUAGCUGGUCUGAGAGGAUGACCAGCCACACUGGAACUGAGACACGGUCCAGACUCCUACGGGAGGCAGCAGUGGGGAAUAUUGCACAAUGGGCGCAAGCCUGAUGCAGCCAUGCCGCGUGUAUGAAGAAGGCCUUCGGGUUGUAAAGUACUUUCAGCGGGGAGGAAGGGAGUAAAGUUAAUACCUUUGCUCAUUGACGUUACCCGCAGAAGAAGCACCGGCUAACUCCGUGCCAGCAGCCGCGGUAAUACGGAGGGUGCAAGCGUUAAUCGGAAUUACUGGGCGUAAAGCGCACGCAGGCGGUUUGUUAAGUCAGAUGUGAAAUCCCCGGGCUCAACCUGGGAACUGCAUCUGAUACUGGCAAGCUUGAGUCUCGUAGAGGGGGGUAGAAUUCCAGGUGUAGCGGUGAAAUGCGUAGAGAUCUGGAGGAAUACCGGUGGCGAAGGCGGCCCCCUGGACGAAGACUGACGCUCAGGUGCGAAAGCGUGGGGAGCAAACAGGAUUAGAUACCCUGGUAGUCCACGCCGUAAACGAUGUCGACUUGGAGGUUGUGCCCUUGAGGCGUGGCUUCCGGAGCUAACGCGUUAAGUCGACCGCCUGGGGAGUACGGCCGCAAGGUUAAAACUCAAAUGAAUUGACGGGGGCCCGCACAAGCGGUGGAGCAUGUGGUUUAAUUCGAUGCAACGCGAAGAACCUUACCUGGUCUUGACAUCCACGGAAGUUUUCAGAGAUGAGAAUGUGCCUUCGGGAACCGUGAGACAGGUGCUGCAUGGCUGUCGUCAGCUCGUGUUGUGAAAUGUUGGGUUAAGUCCCGCAACGAGCGCAACCCUUAUCCUUUGUUGCCAGCGGUCCGGCCGGGAACUCAAAGGAGACUGCCAGUGAUAAACUGGAGGAAGGUGGGGAUGACGUCAAGUCAUCAUGGCCCUUACGACCAGGGCUACACACGUGCUACAAUGGCGCAUACAAAGAGAAGCGACCUCGCGAGAGCAAGCGGACCUCAUAAAGUGCGUCGUAGUCCGGAUUGGAGUCUGCAACUCGACUCCAUGAAGUCGGAAUCGCUAGUAAUCGUGGAUCAGAAUAGCCACGGUGAAUACGUUCCCGGGCCUUGUACACACCGCCCGUCACACCAUGGGAGUGGGUUGCAAAAGAAGUAGGUAGCUUAACCUUCGGGAGGGCGCUUACCACUUUGUGAUUCAUGACUGGGGUGAAGUCGUAACAAGGUAACCGUAGGGGAACCUGCGGUUGGAUCACCU
rnacentral:rRNA from 1 species